UACGUAGGGGGCGAGCGUUGUCCGGAUUUAUUGGGCGUAAAGAGCUCGUAGGCGGUUUGGCAAGUCGGGUGUGAAAACUCCGGGCUCAACUCGAAGACGCCACUCGAUACUGCCAUGACUCGAGUCCGGUAGGGGAGUGCGGAAUUCCUGGUGUAGCGGUGAAAUGCGCAGAUAUCAGGAGGAACACCGAUGGCGAAGGCAGAUCUCUGGGCCGUAACUGACGCUGAGGAGCGAAAGCAUGGGGAGCGAACAGG
rnacentral:rRNA from 1 species